AUCCUUUUGUAGUCCGUAAGGGGGUUGAUUGGGUGGUUAUGCCCAUGGAGAUGUGCCUCUCAAAUCUUGUCAUGAUGUGGGCAGUGGGCAUGUUACCCAUCUGACA